CUUUCAUCUCCUCAGAAGAGAGAGAAAAAAGGAAGAAAAUUCAAAUCGAGAUUCGUUUUCAUUCGGCUCGGAUUUUCGUCUCCCCUGUCUUCCAAUUCCCUUCUCAGCUCCCAUCGUAUUUCAAUUCUCUGAAGAAGAAACUCAUUUUCCUUGCACGCACGAAUUUUAAUUCACAUCAACAUCUUCAAAUCCUACCCAAAACGUAUUGGUGAUUUGGGGUGGAAAACGCUGAGAUUUUGGAUAAGCAUCUGUAAAAUCUAUUCUUCUGCUGAAAUAUUCCAUCCACCUCCAAUUCGCGUGCUUAGCUUUUUUGAGUUUCUUUCUCCUUUUCUUUUCUUUUCUUUUCAGUAGUCGUCACAAGAAAUGUAGGAAACGUAUUGUGUUCCCGGCUUUUGAUAUUUUCACCAUUUCUGUUUGGAAGAAUUUAGACUGAUUUAUUGGAUUUGUCUUAUUGGGUAAAUCUUGAAUGCUCUUCAUUGGUGGAAGGAAUUGCAGUAAUUUUAAUUCUGCUAAAAUUGGUUUGUUUUACAUUUUUUAUUUUUAUUUUUCUGUUUUUGAUUAAUCUCACCAUCUGUGGAUUAUGAUGUGCAUUUGAUUUUUUAUUGCCUUGUAAUUGAAUCCAAUUUUUCUGUCCUUCCCAUUUUUGAGUUUUUCAUUUAUUUACAGCAGUAGGACAUAAUUUGUAUUUGAUUUUUUAAAAAUCUUUUUAGAUUUGUACUUGUAUCUGGGGACUGAAUCCGUUUUCUCUGUGAAGAUUUGACCUUUAUAGGAUUUCGAUCUUUCCAAUUUUCAUCUUUUUCUUGUCUCCAUAGAAAGCGAUAUGCACCUGCUUUUUGGUGAAAAUGGAGGAAUUCCGGAUGGUUAUCUUAGCAUUCACAACUCUGAUGUGUGUUUGCCAUUGCUUCCACUUGGCGCCGAUGCCGUGCAAUGUAUCUCUAACCGACACAUGUCCUGCUUCCCUGUAUUUCAUCCCUUCAAAACCAAAAACCAUUGAAGAAACAACCUCUUUGUUCCAUGUGAAUCCCAAUGUAGUUACUAAGGCAGGUGACGGUUUCUUGAUCUCGAUUAAUUGCAGCUGUCCUGCUGAUCACGACGAGUUCGUAUGGCACACAAAUUAUUUGAUCCAACCUGGGGAUACAUGGGAGAACAUCUCAAUGGUAUUUGGUUCGAUGGUGUUGGAAAGGCCAGCGAAACAGUUGAUUGUGUCGCAGACCGUGAUGUUAGAUCUUCUAUGUGGUUGUUCGGAUGGGGUACGGAUGGUGACAUAUGUGGUUGAAGCGGGGGAUACGCUCUUUACAAUAUGUAACAAUUUUGGAUGCGAUGUGGAGAAGACAAAAAUGCUGAAUAAGGUGGAUGAUUCUGCACUUAUCCAUGUUGGAGACAUACUUUUCAUCCCAACCACAGACCUUGGACACAUUCUUCUCGAUGAUAAAGAUCCAAAAUUCAGCAAAACAUUAAAACCUCAUAGCCAUUUGGUUGUGGUAAUCAUUGGAGCUGUUGUGGCAAUCAUGUUUGUCUUAACUGCAUUAACUGCAUUACUUGUCUGGCUAUACUGCUAUAAGAGGAAGGAAACUGGACGAUCGGAUGCAUCUGCUGGUGGAAUCAAAUGCUCGCCAUUUUUCUUUGCUUCUUCCAUUUUCAACACAAGUGCAAGCAUUUCUCUGCAAGAUCUUCAUUCUUCAUCCAAAGAAUCUGGAACUAGUGCCAUUAGCAUGUUCAGUUCAGAUAAAGCAACUGUUUUUCAAUACUAUGAAGUUUGUGAUGCCACUUCAAACUUUAGUGCAUCACGCAAGCUUGGUCAGGGAUCCUAUGGGUCUGUCUAUCUUGGAAGAUUAAAAGGCACUGAAGUGGCUGUCAAGCAGAUGAAGAAUACGAAGUCAAAAGAGUUCUUGGCAGAGCUGAACAUCCUCUGUAAAGUUCAUCAUAAGAACUUGAUUGAGCUCAUUGGAUAUGCGGCUGGCGGGGAUUAUCUGUUUCUUGUAUAUGAAUUUGCGGAAAAUGGUGCACUAAGUGAGCAUUUGCAUUGCCCUUCUAUAAAAGGGCAUGCGCCUCUUUCAUGGACUGCCAGAGUUCAGAUCGCUCUUGAUGCAGCGAAAGGUCUUGAGUAUAUACAUGUGCACACAAAACCAUAUUAUGUCCACAGAGAUGUGAAGACGAGCAAUAUUCUCUUAGAUUCUAGUUUUCGAGCAAAGAUUGCAGAUUUUGGGCUGGUUAAAUUACUUGAGCAUUCACCAGAAAUUGGAACUGCAACAUCUAAAAUUGUUGGAACAUUUGGUUAUCUUGCUCCAGAGUAUGUUCGAGAUGGAUGCGUGACGACAAAGAGCGAUGUUUAUGCUUAUGGAGUAGUUCUUAUGGAGCUUAUCACUGGCAGGCCGGCACUUAGUAGAAGCUUAUGUACUGAAAAUAAUUUAUAUUCUGAACAUCGAUCUGUCAUAGGUUUUGACCUGAUUUUCUUCAGAUGCUAUCUGCUUUAGAAGACAACGAAGAUCCAGCGGCCAAGUUGUUGCAAUGCAUUGACCCCAAUCUCACUCACUACCAUAAAAAUUCUCUUGUUCAGAUGGCUCUCUUAGCCAAGGACUGCGUGGAUGACGAUCGGAACCAGCGACCGGACAUGUCCAAGGUAGCAAUCUGCCUGUCACACAUCCUUGACAGCUCCAAGGAGUGGGAAGUUCAAGGCCAAAAUCACCCUCAUUCCU